rnacentral:rRNA from 1 species
CAGUCGCCACGGUAAUACGGAGGGUGCAAGCGUUAAUCGGAAUUACUGGGCGUAAAGCGCACGCAGGCGGUCUGACAAGUCAGAUGUGAAAUCCCCGGGCUUAACCUGGGAACUGCAUUUGAAACUGUCAGGCUGGAGUCUUGUAGAGGGGGGUAGAAUUCCAGGUGUAGCGGUGAAAUGCGUAGAGAUCUGGAGGAAUACCGGUGGCGAAGGCGGCCCCCUGGACAAAGACUGACGCUCAGGUGCGAAAGCGUGGGGAGCAAACAGGAUUAGAUACCCGUGUAGUCCCUGUCUCUUAUAC